CUCCAGAGAAUGAGCUGACAACUUACUUCCCAGUGAGUGUUUCUCCAUUCCUACCUAUGAUCUCAUGGACACCCUUACAGAAUAUAACUUCCUAGGAAGUUACUGGAAGUGAAUGUUAUGAGUAGAUUCAUGAAACAAGACCCCUCAGACAAAGAGCCUCUUCACUUACUUAUUGUCCAAGAGCCACCCAUCAAAGGUGAUGACCACACAGAUGAGAAGUAUAUGUUACAAUUGGUGCCAUUCCUUCUACCACCAGCUUCAUCAAAACAAUGACACAGUCUUCCUGUGCUCGGAGACUCUUCUCUUCCCUGUGUUGCAGUGGAUACCUCCUGCAGAUAAGAAAUGCUUAACUGAGAAAUGCUCAUAUUGGGAUAUCAUCGAUGAGACUUUAAUUUGGGCAUGGUGACUGUUUCCCUUGCUGCCACUUGACUCAAUCCCAGGAGCCUCAGUAGAGGAAAUAAUAUUAUACAAGAUGCUCAAAAUGGUAGAAUUGCUCAGUGCUCCCAUAAUUAUACAUUAAUAAUUUUCAUUUGCCACAUGAUAAAUUUUAAAAACAGGCUAUAUUAAAAAGAAAAACUGGAUGAUUUUUUUCAAAAAUUCAAAGUAUAUUUAAAUAACUAAUAUAUAAAUUAAGUGCCCUCCUCUGUUCCAAUUCUAUCCCUAUAGUUUUUCUCUAGUAAGGGAGUUAUGUGCAUUCUUUUAGUGGAUAGAACAAAUACACGCAUAAGCUAUUUUUUAGAGGGGAGAUCUGGAAGUGUGGCCAUACUGUAACACAUUCUUCU